UGGAUAGUCUUUAUGGUGUAGUAAUUUUUUUUUAUAUUAUGGAAGCUUACAUGGUGCAGAUAUUAUUCACGGUGCAGAUAUGCUUCAAGGUGCAGGAAAGUUUUCUUUUAGGACCAUUUAUUUCUUCUGUUUAGAAUUAGUUUACGGUGUUUGUUGGUUUUCUUUUAAAUUAAGAUGCAUUCAUUUUCUUAUUCUUUGCUCUGAAAUAGUGCCACGGCUUUUGGUGUUUUUUUUCGGGAGCAAUUUCAUUUCUCUUUUAGAAAAUUCCAAUUUACUUUUGGUUUGAGGAGAACACUUGGUCACGUGAAUGGUAGAAUGUUGUUUAUUUUUUUUUAGCUUUAAAUUAGUUUGAAUUGUAGGUUGAGUUGUAUUUAAUUUCUUUAAUUUAGUGUUGCAUUUAAAUCAUUUUAACUGUGCUAGAUAUUUUAAUCAUUCACAAAAAUAUUUUCCAACCCCCCCACUUCGUGUCUGACCUAAUUCUCGAACCACAGUUUGGUCCUUGAGAGACGACCUAGGAGUCACUUCCUAGUCUAUACUGCAUUUCUCAUAUGCAAUCAAAUUUGUAUGGGCUACGACACCCAUAGCUAUCCAAGCUGCUACGGGAUGAACAUGUUGAACGUAAAAGGGCAGGACCUGCUGGCUGCCACUCCAUUCUCUCCAACCACACACGUCAAACCCACGGGCUUUGCAAUUGCUUCUUCUUCUUUUUGCUGCACCGUGGUGCUUCUGGACGUCCUCCGUGUACGUGUCUUAAGAGCUGGAUGUUUAAGCCCACUCACCAACACUAGAAUGUGCAGACCGAGACACCUUCUGCUGAUGGGCCGUGUGGCAAUUGGAAGCUACUGUGAAAAUGCUUGGACGCAUAAUGAUGCGGACCGUGAUGCUUCAGCUGCACCACCUCUCAAAGUUGAAUGAGAUAGACCACUUCCCAAGCAUUGCUGGAAGUUGCCGGAUGAACAGCCCAAGCUGCUAGAAUGUGGGAAUGGAUGGAAGCUGCUGCUUGGGCCGAAGCUGCUGGGAAUGUUGCUGCAAAGCUGGUGCUGCAUCUUGUGCUAAUGGUUCUGCUGCUGCCAGCCUUUUAAAGUUGCUAACGCUGCAGGAUGCUUUUAAGUUGAAGCCCGUGGAUGUGCUGCUGCGUGGAGGUGUGAUGAAUGCUUGAUGCCAAGUGGAGUGCUGCACCGCUGGACUCCUAAGCUGCAGCCCAUUUCAUUGCUGCUUUCUUCUUCCACUUUGCACCUCCUAAAAGAUGGAUUUGCUUGUUGAACCGUGGUGAAGGAUGAAUUUUCUGCUCCACCGCUCAGACCCAAUUGCAUGCACCCCUAGACGUGGACGUGGUAGUCCAAGAUAAUUAAACUUGUUGCUCUUUUUAUUUUGCUGGACCUUUCUCUUCAACGCUGGGUGAAGAAAAACGUUGUUGUUGGACAUUGCAGCCACUUUCUUUUUGAAGCACCCAAUUAAAUGCCAAAUAUAAUACUUCUCCCAUGCCCUGCUGGACCGUGCAGCCUUAAUUGAAGUCAGCCUCUCUCAUUUCUUUCUUUGCAAGUUGUGACAUUUAAUUGCUAAACGUCACUCGUAUCUUCACGCUGGGCCUCCCAAUGUGCGCGUUGCUGCUGCUUCACCUACGCUGCACGUGAAUGUCUCACAUCCUCGGGUGGCAUCUGGGCUUGCAUUAAAUCAGCCAAAAAUGCUUUUUGAAGCACCACUCCAUGGACACUGUGUAUUUUUUAUUAUUCAAGUAGCUGGAAGUAACUCUAAUGCCACACCACGUGCUACUGCCUUUUUUCUUUUUUUUUUUUUAUUUCAUUCAGCCCAUGACAGCUACUCCUGCACGUGGGCAUCUCCAACUUAGACGCUUAUGGGCCGUGAGUGUAACCGUAUGUGCUUCUAAGUUUCUGCUUCACUUUCUAAUGUGGACCGUGAAUGUGCAACAUGGGUUGUGAAGAUGUGGACUUGUGCCUUCUUUUAUCAACAACGGUACAACCCUUUUUGCUUUAUUGGAGAACGUUGCUGCAUGCCACCAAUAAAGAAGCCAGAAGCCUUCCCAAAUGUGGGCCGUAAGCAGCUGGAUUUGUGUUGCUAUACUAUGCUUCACGUGCUUCUAUCUUUAGCUGGACCCAUGUGCCUCAAUGGGAACAACAUUCCAGCUCUCCCUCCAAACGUUCAAGCAGAUAGCUUGGAGUGAAGCCCAUAUCUUUGUGCACUCCAAAAUUGAAAUCCAC
rnacentral:lncRNA from 1 species